rnacentral:rRNA from 1 species
GACGAACGCUGGCGGCGUGCUUAACACAUGCAAGUCGAGCGGUAAGGCCUUUCGGGGUACACGAGCGGCGAACGGGUGAGUAACACGUGGGUGACCUGCCCUUCACUCUGGGAUAAGCCUGGGAAACUGGGUCUAAUACCGGAUACUCACUUUCCCUCGCAUGGGGGUGGGUGGUAAAGUUUUUUCGGUGGGGGAGUGGCCCGGCCGGCCUAUCAGCUUGUUGGUGGGGUGAUGGCCUACCAAGGCGACGACGGGGUAGCCGGCCUGAGAGGGCGACCGGCCACACUGGGACUGAGACACGGCCCAGACUCCUACGGGAGGCAGCAGUGGGGAAUAUUGCGCAAUGGGGCGAAGCCUGACGCAGCGACGCCGCGUGGGGGAU